rnacentral:rRNA from 1 species
UGGCUCAGGACAAACGCUGGCGGCGCACAUAAGACAUGCAAGUCGAACGGACGAGAUUUUUGUUACAAAGGAUCAAGUUAGUGGCGGACGGGUGAGUAACGCGUAGGUAACCUGCCUUUGAUAGGGGAAUAACACAGAGAAAUCUGUGCUAAUACCGCAUAAUAUUGCUUUACCGCAUGAUAGAGCAAUCAAAGGAGAAAUCCGAUCGAAGAUGGACCUGCGUCUGAUUAGCUAGUUGGAGUGGUAACGGCACACCAAGGCGACGAUCAGUAGCCGAACUGAGAGGUUGAUCGGCCACAUUGGGACUGAGACACGGCCCAGACUCCUACGGGAGGCAGCAGUCGGGAAUAUUGCACAAUGGGGGGAACCCUGAAUGCAGUGACGCCGCGUAUAGGAAGAAGGUUUUCGGAUUGUAAACUAUUGUCGACAGGGAAGAAGAAAGAGACGGUACCUGUGGAGGAAGCCCCGGCUAACUACGUGCCAGCAGCGGC